AUUGAACGCUGGCAGCAUGCCUUACACAUGCAAGUCGAACGGUAACAGAUCUUCGGAUGCUGACGAGUGGCGAACGGGUGAGUAAUACAUCGGAACGUGCCUAGUAGUGGGGGAUAACUACUCGAAAGAGUGGCUAAUACCGCAUGAGAUCUACGGAUGAAAGCAGGGGAUCGCAAGACCUUGUGCUACUAGAGCGGCCGAUGGCAGAUUAGGUAGUUGGUGGGAUAAAAGCUUACCAAGCCGACGAUCUGUAGCUGGUCUGAGAGGACGAUCAGCCACACUGGGACUGAGACACGGCCCAGACUCCUACGGGAGGCAGCAGUGGGGAAUUUUGGACAAUGGGCGCAAGCCUGAUCCAGCAAUGCCGCGUGCAGGAUGAAGGCCUUCGGGUUGUAAACUGCUUUUGUACGGAACGAAAAGCCCUGGGUUAAUACCCUGGGGUCAUGACGGUACCGUAAGGAUAAGCACCGGCUAACUACGUGCCAGCCGCCGCCGUAACAC
rnacentral:rRNA from 1 species